rnacentral:rRNA from 1 species
ACUUCGGAAGGGGUGUAUUUAUUAGAUAAAAAACCAAUGCCCUCCGGGGCUCCUUGGUGAUUCAUAAUAACUCAACGAAUCGCAUGGCCUUGCGCCGGCGAUGGUUCAUUCAAAUUUCUGCCCUAUCAACUUUCGAUGGUAGGAUAGUGGCCUACCAUGGUAUCAACGGGUAACGGGGAAUUAGGGUUCGAUUCCGGAGAGGGAGCCUGAGAAACGGCUACCACAUCCAAGGAAGGCAGCAGGCGCGCAAAUUACCCAAUCCCAACACGGGGAGGUAGUGACAAUAAAUACUGAUCCAGGGCUCUUUUGGGUCUUGUAAUUGGAAUGAGUACAAUUUAAAUCCCUUAACGAGGAACAAUUGGAGGGCAAGUCUGGUGCCAGCAGCCGCGGUAAUUCCAGCUCCAAUAGCGUAUAUUAAAGUUGUUGCAGUUAAAAAGCUCGUAGUUGAAACUUGGGCCUGGCUGGCCGGUCCGCCUCACCGCGUGCACUGGUCCGGCCGGGCCUUUUCUCCUGGGGAGCCUCAUGCCCUUUACUGGGCGUGUUGGGGAACCAGGACUUUUACUUUGAAAAAAUUAGAGUGUUCAAAGCAG